UACGGAGGGUGCAAGCGUUAUCCGGAAUCACUGGGCGUAAAGGGCGCGUAGGCGGUUUGUUACGUCCGAUGUUAAAGACCGAGGCUCAACCUCGACACGGCGUUUGAUACUGGCAAGCUGGACGGUUGGAGAGGAAGGUAGAAUUACCAGUGUAGCGGUGGAAUGCGUAGAUACAGGUAGGAAUACCCAUGGCGAAGGCAGGCUUCUGGACAACAAGUGACGCUGAGGCGCGAAAGCGUGGGGAGCAAACCGG
rnacentral:rRNA from 1 species